rfam:Camelus ferus unplaced genomic scaffold scaffold478, whole genome shotgun sequence.
GAGGGAAUAGCUCAGUGGUAGAGUGUGUGCCUAGCAAGCACGAGGUCCUAGGUUCAGUCUCCAGUACCUCCA